AGAGUUUGAUCAUGGCUCAGAUUGAACGCUGGCGGCAGGCCUAACACAUGCAAGUCGAACGGUAACAGGAAGCAGCUUGCUGCUUCGCUGACGAGUGGCGGACGGGUGAGUAAUGUCUGGGAAGCUGCCUGAUGGAGGGGGAUAACUACUGGAAACGGUAGCUAAUACCGCAUAAUGUCGCAAGACCAAAGAGGGGGACCUUCGGGCCUCUUGCCAUCGGAUGUGCCCAGAUGGGAUUAGCUUGUUGGUGGGGUAACGGCUCACCAAGGCGACGAUCCCUAGCUGGUCUGAGAGGAUGACCAGCCACACUGGAACUGAGACACGGUCCAGACUCCUACGGGAGGCAGCAGUGGGGAAUAUUGCACAAUGGGCGCAAGCCUGAUGCAGCCAUGCCGCGUGUAUGAAGAAGGCCUUCGGGUUGUAAAGUACUUUCAGCGGGGAGGAAGGGAGUAAAGUUAAUACCUUUGCUCAUUGACGUUACCCGCAGAAGAAGCACCGGCUAACUCCGUGCCAGCAGCCGCGGUAAUACGGAGGGUGCAAGCGUUAAUCGGAAUUACUGGGCGUAAAGCGCACGCAGGCGGUUUGUUAAGUCAGAUGUGAAAUCCCCGGGCUCAACCUGGGAACUGCAUCUGAUACUGGCAAGCUUGAGUCUCGUAGAGGGGGGUAGAAUUCCAGGUGUAGCGGUGAAAUGCGUAGAGAUCUGGAGGAAUACCGGUGGCGAAGGCGGCCCCCUGGACGAAGACUGACGCUCAGGUGCGAAAGCGUGGGGAGCAAACAGGAUUAGAUACCCUGGUAGUCCACGCCGUAAACGAUGUCGACUUGGAGGUUGUGCCCUUGAGGCGUGGCUUCCGGAGCUAACGCGUUAAGUCGACCGCCUGGGGAGUACGGCCGCAAGGUUAAAACUCAAAUGAAUUGACGGGGGCCCGCACAAGCGGUGGAGCAUGUGGUUUAAUUCGAUGCAACGCGAAGAACCUUACCUGGUCUUGACAUCCACGGAAGUUUUCAGAGAUGAGAAUGUGCCUUCGGGAACCGUGAGACAGGUGCUGCAUGGCUGUCGUCAGCUCGUGUUGUGAAAUGUUGGGUUAAGUCCCGCAACGAGCGCAACCCUUAUCCUUUGUUGCCAGCGGUCCGGCCGGGAACUCAAAGGAGACUGCCAGUGAUAAACUGGAGGAAGGUGGGGAUGACGUCAAGUCAUCAUGGCCCUUACGACCAGGGCUACACAUGUGCUACAAUGGCGCAUACAAAGAGAAGCGACCUCGCGAGAGCAAGCGGACCUCAUAAAGUGCGUCGUAGUCCGGAUUGGAGUCUGCAACUCGACUCCAUGAAGUCGGAAUCGCUAGUAAUCGUGGAUCAGAAUGCCACGGUGAAUACGUUCCCGGGCCUUGUACACACCGCCCGUCACACCAUGGGAGUGGGUUGCAAAAGAAGUAGGUAGCUUAACCUUCGGGAGGGCGCUUACCACUUUGUGAUUCAUGACUGGGGUGAAGUCGUAACAAGGUA
rnacentral:rRNA from 1 species